rnacentral:lncRNA from 10 species
GAGCGCACCGGGCCUGCCGAGGAGCGCGCGCCCGGCCGGGCUCGGCGCCGGUUUCCCGAACCUGGGCGGCCGUCGGGCAGCCCCCUCGUCCGACCAUGGCGACUGACAGUGCUGUUGCUUCAGAAAGUAUCAUCACAAUUUCAUUAUCUGUCUAAUACUGUGUAAACAGAUACCUUAUUUCAAAUGGACACAAGGAGGUAGUGGAGUAGAGAGUAAGAUCAUGGGCUCUUGAACCAGACUCUUGGAUUCUAAACUUGAUUCAGCUGGUUUUAGAAUGUUGGGUGAGUAACUUACUUUUUCUUUGCCUCAGUUUCUUUAUCUAAAAAGGGAGAGAGGGUAGAUAAUUACCUCCCUUGGCCAUGGAGUGUUUUUGUGAGGAUUAAAUUUAUUUAUGUAAAGUGCAUGGCAGAUAUGAUGAUGAUGAUGAUGAUGAUGAUGAUGAUUACUGAGGUAACAAGGACUGGCUGAACAUUCUCUUGUGGCAUUCAGGGAACACUGAAGGUGAAUUCUGCCUAGCAUUAACAUUUGUGGGUGGAUGAAUCCUUGCACAUAUAGUCAGAUAAAUGUUUAAUAAGUGGUCAUUGGGGGUUUGACAAAGCAAGGAGACAUUUAGAAAACAUACAG